UACGGAGGGGGCUAGCGUUGUUCGGAAUUACUGGGCGUAAAGCGCGCGUAGGCGGACCUGCAAGUCGGGGGUGAAAGCCCGAGGCUCAACCUCGGAACUGCCUUCGAUACUGCGGGUCUCGAGUCCGGGAGAGGUGAGUGGAAUUCCUAGUGUAGAGGUGAAAUUCGUAGAUAUUAGGAAGAACACCAGUGGCGAAGGCGGCUCACUGGCCCGGUACUGACGCUGAGGGCGACGAAAGCGUGGGGAGCAAACAGG
rnacentral:rRNA from 1 species